CAUUUUAUCAUCUCAAUCAAUUGUAUAUUUAUCCUUACUAUUUAUAAAGCCCUUUACUAAGUCGAUGUCACCUGCCCCGUUCUUCUACCCGUUUUAGAAGCACUUUUAGGGAAAAAAGUCCUUUUUCUUGAAAAGGAACAAAGAACAGACUCCUUUUCUUCAAAAAAUUUCACCGUUAGAAAAUCACUUUUCUCCAGAUGAGAAGCUAAAAAUUUCUCCUUUUCUUCAGCUUGGAGUGCUUUUGGCUGGAAAUUUACCAAAUUAACCUGUCUCUUCUCCCACAAACGUUAUUUCCCCUCCUCUGCUGGUUCUUUGGAACUGUCUUCUCCCACAAACUUGCUUUUGGCUGAAAAGAACAAAAAUUUGAUUUCUCAUUCAGGAUAGCUGCUACUGCUUUGAGGCAACACUCUAAUUCUUAAAAGCUUUAAAGGCACCCAGGAGAAGCCGAUAUUCCUAAACUAGCAAAAGUAGAAGUUGAUCAUCUCUUUUUCUCUUGUUUAAAACAAAGCAGUCACUCUCUUUCAAGAAUAAGGGGAUAUUAUUUGUUGCAAUUGAUCAAAAUAGGCCUCUUUCAGACCAGGGUCCUUUUGAUAUUGUAUUGCACAAGAAGUGGCUGUUCCUUUGAUCCUAGGGGUACUGCAUGUUUGAUUAGGCCUCAAUAGCUUUGCCAAUCCAAAAUCUGAAAUCUUUGCAGUCAAUGAAUCAUCCAAGAGUAUGUUAUGUGGCUUGAGGUUGCAACGGAUGAUACACCCCUCACACUCUUCAUGUAAAUAAAGGAUACCUUUAGCUACGUCCAAUGCAAUUCGGGCUCUCUCUUUCCACACUGGGCGUUUAUUCAUGUUGAACAGAAAGUUUGCCAGUGAGCCAUUGCCCAAGUAUUCAUAAAUGUGGAGCUUCCUUGAACCUUCCACCCAAAAACCAAGCAAUCGGACCAAGUUCCUGUGAUUAGUUCUUCCAAUGACUGUCAUCUCGGUUCGAAUCUGAUCUGUUUCUCUUGUACUUUUUUACAUCAUGGUAUAUACAAGUUUUAUUACUAUCGGUCUGAUUCUGUUUAAAGAUUUUAGUUGAACCUUUAAAUGAAAUGCAAUACACACUAAACUGUUCAAUUGAAA